rnacentral:rRNA from 1 species
GACGAACGCUGGCGGCGUGCUUAACACAUGCAAGUCGAACGCUGAAGACCUGGCUUUUGUUGGGUUGGAUGAGUGGCGAACGGGUGAGUAACACGUGAGUAACCUGCCCUCUUCUUUGGGAUAACGCCCGGAAACGGGUGCUAAUACUGGAUAUUCACUGAUCUUCGCAUGGGGGUUGGUGGAAAGGUUUGUUCUGGUGGGGGAUGGGCUCGCGGCCUAUCAGCUUGUUGGUGGGUUGAUGGCCUACCAAGGCUUUGACGGGUAGCCGGCCUGAGAGGGUGACCGGUCACAUUGGGACUGAGAUACGGCCCAGACUCGUACGGGAGGAAGCAGUGGGGAAUAUUGCACAAUGGGCGAAAGCCUGAUGGAGCGAUGCGGCGUGAGGGAUGGAGGACUUCGGGUUGUAAACCUCUUUCGCUAAUGGUCAAGCCGCAACUGUGGGUUGUGGUGAGGGUAGUGGGUAAAGAAGCGCCGGCUAACUACGUG